rnacentral:rRNA from 1 species
UACGUAGGCAGCGAGCGUUGUUCGGAGUUACUGGGCGUAAAGAGUGCGUAGGCGGUUUUCUAAGUUUGGUGUGAAAUCUCCCGGCUUAACUGGGAGGGUGCGCCGAAGACUGGAAGGCUUGAGUAUGGGAGAGGUAAGCGGAAUUCCUGGUGUAGCGGUGAAAUGCGUAGAUAUCAGGAAGAACACCAACGGCGAAGGCAGCUCGCUGGGACGGUACUGACGCUGAGACGCGAAAGCGUGGGGAGCGAACAGG